rnacentral:rRNA from 1 species
UUGAAAGGGAAGCGCUCAGACUCGUUUCGGAAGCUCAGCCUUCCUCCGGGUUGGUGUAUUCUUCUGUCAGCGGGCCAGCAUCAGUUUCGACGGCUGGAUAAAGGUUUUGGGAAUGUAGCUCUUUUCGAACACUUUAUAGCCUGGAACGUAAUGCAGUGGUCGAGACUGAGGUCCGCGCUUUUGCUAGGAUGCGGCAAAUUGGU